GAUGAACGCUGGCGGUGUGCCUAAUACAUGCAAGUCGAGCGAACAGACGAGGAGCUUGCUCCUUUGACGUUAGCGGCGGACGGGUGAGUAACACGUGGGUAACCUACCUAUAAGACUGGGAUAACUUCGGGAAACCGGAGCUAAUACCGGAUAAUAUUUCGAACCGCAUGGUUCGAUAGUGAAAGAUGGCUUUGCUAUCACUUAUAGAUGGACCUGCGCCGUAUUAGCUAGUUGGUAAGGUAACGGCUUACCAAGGCAACGAUACGUAGCCGACCUGAGAGGGUGAUCGGCCACACUGGAACUGAGACACGGUCCAGACUCCUACGGGAGGCAGCAGUAGGGAAUCUUCCGCAAUGGGCGAAAGCCUGACGGAGCAACGCCGCGUGAGUGAUGAAGGUCUUCGGAUCGUAAAACUCUGUUAUUAGGGAAGAACAAACGUGUAAGUAACUGUGCACGUCUUGACGGUACCUAAUCAGAAAGCCACGGCUAACUACGUG
rnacentral:rRNA from 1 species